AGGUUCCACUGAGAUUUGAACUUGGGUCGCUGGAUUCAGAGUUCACAGAGUGCUAACCAUUACACCAUAGAACC